GACGAACGCUGGCGGCGUGCUUAACACAUGCAAGUCGAACGGAAAGGCCCUGCUUUUGUGGGGUGCUCGAGUGGCGAACGGGUGAGGAACACGUGAGUAACCGGCCCUUGACUUUGGGAUAACUUCAGGAAACUGGGGCUAAUACCGGAUAGGAUCUCCUGCUGCAUGGUGGGGGGGGGAACGUUUCGGCGGUUGGGGAUGGACUCGCGGCUUAUCAGCUUGUUGGUGGGGUAGUGGCUUACCAAGGCUUUGACGGGUAGCCGGCCUGAGAGGGUGACCGGCGACAUUGGGACUGAGAUACGGCCCAGACUCCUACGGGAGGCAGCAGUGGGGAAUAUUGCACAAUGGGCGGAAGCCUGAUGCAGCAACGCCGCGUGCGGGAUGACGGCCUUCGGGUUGUAAACCGCUUUCGCCUGUGACGACGCGUGAGUGACGGUAAUGGGUAAAGAAGCACCGGCUAACUACGUG
rnacentral:rRNA from 1 species